GGUGGCUGAAAACACAACAUCUCGGCCAAUUUUUCGGCCAAGGGCGGUCCAUUUUAAAAUCAUUCCUGCAAGUGUAUAUUCGUCAGACGUAUGAUACGUCAUCAGAAGUGUCCACUUAAUUUGAGGGCGGAGGGGAUAGGGUGUGUCUUUUAAGUGUUUGGACCGUAAACUAGUGCCCAUAAUGAGUAUUUGUCGGAGGUUUAGAAAUCUCAGAAAUUGUCUAUAUUUUCCCGUUUCUUUCAGUCACCUUGUAAAUAUUUACCCCAAAACAAGCCUGGAAAUAUAGAUAAUACAAUAUUGUGUAUAUAAACAUCAUUAUGGGACAUGUAUGAAUGAAAAUAUAAAAACAGGCAUUAUAUAUGCUAGCCAUAAAGUUGUAAGGACCCAGCCGUAUAAAUUGAACGCACCCUCGUUCUUUAGGCCUUUCUCCGGUCAAGACGCGAGCGAAGAAGAUAAGCGCAGAAAUGAAGAAUGGUAUUAAAUGUUUUUAUGUCAGAAGUACAACCCAGAUGGGCUGGCAAUACGUGUUGAAAGUCAGCGAAUGUGGUUGAGAGGUUGACCAAGUCACUAAGUUUGCAAGACUGAUGCAUCAGCCAACAUUGAAAUGCGUAUAGAAUAGCAAGCAGUCUUGGUUCGGGAAUGCCGUGUAAUCAAGGAAAAUGGAGGGAAGUUCCAAACAGUCUUCUAGCAUUUGCGUGCUCAGGCUCCC